AGUGAACGCUGGCGGUAGGCCUAACACAUGCAAGUCGAACGGCAGCACAGUAAGAGCUUGCUCUUACGGGUGGCGAGUGGCGGACGGGUGAGGAAUACAUCGGAAUCUACUUUUUCGUGGGGGAUAACGUAGGGAAACUUGCGCUAAUACCGCAUACGACCUACGGGUGAAAGCAGGGGAUCUUCGGACCUUGCGCGAUUGAAUGAGCCGAUGUCGGAUUAGCUAGUUGGCGGGGUAAAGGCCCACCAAGGCGACGAUCCGUAGCUGGUCUGAGAGGAUGAUCAGCCACACUGGAACUGAGACACGGUCCAGACUCCUACGGGGGGCAGCAGUGGGGAAUAUUGGACAAUGGGCGCAAGCCUGAUCCAGCCAUACCGCGUGGGUGAAGAAGGCCUUCGGGUUGUAAAGCCCUUUUGUUGGGAAAGAAAAGCAGCAGGUUAAUACCCCGCUGUUCUGACGGUACCCAAAGAAUAAGCACCGGCUAACUUCGUG
rnacentral:rRNA from 1 species